UACGGGGGGUGCGAGCGUUGUCCGGAAUCACUGGGCGUAAAGGGCGCGUAGGUGGUUUGAUAAGGGUGUGGUGAAAGUCCGGGGCUCAACCCCGGAUCUGCCGUGCCGACUGUCAAACUCGAGGGCUGUAGAGGCAGACGGAAUUCCGGGUGUAGCGGUGGAAUGCGUAGAGAUCCGGAGGAAGACCGGUGGCGAAGGCGGUCUGCUGGGCAGUUUCUGACGCUGAUGCGCGAAAGCGUGGGGAGCAAACAGG
rnacentral:rRNA from 1 species